GAUCCUGGCUCAGGAUGAACGCUAGCUACAGGCUUAACACAUGCAAGUCGAGGGGCAGCAUUUCAGUUUGCUUGCAAACUGGAGAUGGCGACCGGCGCACGGGUGAGUAACACGUAUCCAACCUGCCGAUAACUCGGGGAUAGCCUUUCGAAAGAAAGAUUAAUACCCGAUGGUAUAAUUAGACCGCAUGGUCUUGUUAUUAAAGAAUUUCGGUUAUCGAUGGGGAUGCGUUCCAUUAGGCAGUUGGUGAGGUAACGGCUCACCAAACCUUCGAUGGAUAGGGGUUCUGAGAGGAAGGUCCCCCACAUUGGAACUGAGACACGGUCCAAACUCCUACGGGAGGCAGCAGUGAGGAAUAUUGGUCAAUGGGCGCAGGCCUGAACCAGCCAAGUAGCGUGAAGGAUGACUGCCCUAUGGGUUGUAAACUUCUUUUAUAUGGGAAUAAAGUUUUCCACGUGUGGAAUUUUGUAUGUACCAUAUGAAUAAGGAUCGGCUAACUCCGUGCCAGCAGCCGCGGUAAUACGGAGGAUCCGAGCGUUAUCCGGAUUUAUUGGGUUUAAAGGGAGCGUAGGUGGACAGUUAAGUCAGUUGUGAAAGUUUGCGGCUCAACCGUAAAAUUGCAGUUGAUACUGGCUGUCUUGAGUACAGUAGAGGUGGGCGGAAUUCGUGGUGUAGCGGUGAAAUGCUUAGAUAUCACGAAGAACUCCGAUUGCGAAGGCAGCUCACUGGACUGCAACUGACACUGAUGCUCGAAAGUGUGGGUAUCAAACAGGAUUAGAUACCCUGGUAGUCCACACAGUAAACGAUGAAUACUCGCUGUUUGCGAUAUACAGUAAGCGGCCAAGCGAAAGCAUUAAGUAUUCCACCUGGGGAGUACGCCGGCAACGGUGAAACUCAAAGGAAUUGACGGGGGCCCGCACAAGCGGAGGAACAUGUGGUUUAA
rnacentral:rRNA from 1 species